UCGGUCGAUUGGAUCCACUGGGGUGUGCGAAAGAGAUGGGAUGGGAUGCGUCGGCCGUUCCCAGACCGAUCGAUCGCUGUCGCUCAUGAAAAAAAUUCGGUCGACGCGAGGGGGGAGGGGAUCCGCCGCCGCACGCGAUUCUGAUCGACGCCAUGGCCGCUCGUUCGAGCGAAAGUGCUCCGGUGAAGUUGUGCCGCCGCCGGCACCGCCACCACAACCACUACCGCUCGAGGUCGGUGGAUUGGCGGUGGACGACGUCGCCCAGGCCAACAACAUCAUCCAGCGCCUCAACGACUUCCCCUCCAUGGCGCACAUCUCCGGGAUGGGCCUCACGGUCGUGCCGAUGAUCGCGGCCUUCUCCAACCUCUGCGCAGUUAACCUCUCCGGCACCGAUGAUGAAAUCAUUUCUUCUAUCGCUGCAUUACUACAUCCUCCGCUUGCUCAUAUAUCAUGCUAUGUAGGAUGUUUGCCUUUCUUCAUUCCGUGUCUGUGACCUCUAGCCAUUUGUCAGACGUUUUUUUUUCUUAGUUUCAAUUUUGCCCGGCAUCUUGCUCGCUCCCUUGUUAUCCAGCUGACUUCUUGUUGACUGUUGCUUGUUACAGGAAUUGCCUUGCUCGUUUGCUCAAAGGUUCUGUAUCCCCAGAGUGUAUGUAUCACUCGGAACUGAGAGUCGGCUCCUGACAGUUUAACUGUGUUGGUCAUACAAUUCGCUCGGAGCAAGAACAAAUUCAACAAGGCAAUAAAACAAAGCGUGGAGCGCCUAAAGGACAUCCAAUACUCUCAGGGAAUUCGAGGAGGUACUGCUCUUUUACUGAACAACAUGGUCACGCUUUUUUAUUGAGAGAAGCAUGCUCACCUUGAGGCAUCCUGCGGCCAUGUAUGACGUUGUGAUAGUCAUAUGCUGAUUUUGUGAGAUAUCAUGGUGUCCUUGACUUUGAACAUUAGUUAUAAAUAAGAUGAGAAGUUGUAUCGAUAGCAUCGGUUUUAUUCCCUUGCAUCAAAAUGAAGAAUUUCCUCGCUAGAUUUUCAUAACAUAAAUAUACCACCCGGAUCGCUGCCGAAGGUUCUGCACUCGUUGGAUAUGUCACGGAACAAGAUAACAAAUGUCGAGGGGCUCCGGGAACUAAUGAAGCUGCGCGUGCGCAACCUCAGCCACAACUGGAUUUCAUCCACAUCAGCCUGGGUACAUACUUGCAGAUAACAUGAUGGAAAGAAGGCAAGAAGCAGGUACCUGUAUAGGUGGGUUUUUGGAGUCUCAGAGGGGCACAUAUGAAGUAUCCACGCUAAAAGCAUGCCGAGUACCUCAUGGCUUGUAUCAGUGCCCAGCUUGACGGCGAACUAUUCUCUGAAAAGCUUGCUAAUGAAUCUCUGUUCAAUUAUUGGGGGCUACAUUCCUUCUAAACUUCUGCGGCGUUAUCAACGCGAUCUUAAAGUGCAAGGUGUGUGCGCACAUAUAACACUUAGAAGAUUAUUGUGAAUCUUAAGGAAGGAGCACAUCUCAAGGCUAAGCAUUUUGUGCUCUUAUCUUGGGUAAUAUCCGCUCUUUAAUAUACAAGAAGUUCAACUCUGGAGUAGUUGUCAGGAAAGCAAAGAUCUAAGUCAGGUAAGGUAGUAUGUAUGCAUCUUCAGUUACUAUUUUUGCAGCAUGUCUGAAGGUAAAAGUAGCAGCCUGAUGCCAUGUACAACACUACAAAAUGAAGGGUUUUCCAGCAUGAGU